UUUUCUUUUAGGGGGGGAUCCCUUGGCUUGGGGAUCAAUAAAAAACCCCUCUAGUUGCGUUAAAAAGUGGGAAUUGCAGGCCCCUUGCACCCAAAGAUUUCGAACCCCCCUUGCCCCCUGGGGUUGAUUCCCGGGGGUGUCUUUGGGAGGGGGGCGAU
rnacentral:rRNA from 1 species